GACGAACGCUGGCGGCGUGCUUAACACAUGCAAGUCGAACGGUGAAGCGCCUUCCUUUUUGGUGGGUGUGGAUGAGUGGCGAACGGGUGAGUAACACGUGAGUAACCUGCCCCCUUCUUCUGGAUAACCGCAUGAAAGUGUGGCUAAUACGGGAUAUUCUGGGUCUGUCGCAUGAUGGGUCUGGGAAAGAUAUUGUUUCGGUGGGGGAUGGGCUCGCGGCCUAUCAGCUUGUUGGUGGGGUGAUGGCCUACCAAGGCGGUGACGGGUAGCCGGCCUGGGAGGGUGGACGGUCACACUGGGACUGAGACACGGCCCGGACUCCUACGGGAGGCAGCAGUGGGGAAUAUUGCACAAUGGGCGCAAGCCUGAUGCAGCGACGCCGCGUGAGGGAUGGAGGCCUUCGGGUUGUGAACCUCUUUCGCCAGUGAAGCAGGCCUGCCUCGUAUGUGGGUGGGUUGACGGUAGCUGGAUAAGAAGCGCCGGCUAACUACGUG
rnacentral:rRNA from 1 species